rnacentral:lncRNA from 1 species
AAAUGAAAAUUUACCAGUGUGCAGAUUCCCAGGCUGCAAUCAAGAACUGCUGGAUCUCUGUUUUCAAGAGAGAACUUCAUCAUGUUAAAGGUUAUUGUUUUAUCAAUAUCUGAAGGGAACCUGAAAAAGCUGAUCUACUGGGAUGCAUAAAAUCUGGUGGCUCUCUUAGUUGUUGAUUUCUGAUGGGCUUCUCAGCCCACAGUGACACUCAGUGGUGGUUGAGCAGACAACAGCAGAGAAUUCGGGGAACAGAACCUCAAAUAAUGCUUAUCUGGUGUGUUAGAAUCUUAGGCAUCUGAUUUGAAUCAAUCAAUAAGCAAUUGUCUUUUCAAGACUCUUACUAUUAAAUAGUAUAACUCUCUGAAUGCUGGUUCAUCAUCACAAUCACUUUCAUUAGGCAUUUUACCAGAGAACAAAACUGGCCCUGUUACUGUAAGUGUGUAAAAGAUAAACAUCUUUUAUUAGAAUGUUACACUCUGUAUAACUUCAGAAAAAAAAUGUACACACAUGCAUUUGCACUCUCCUACUUUCAAUCUUGCCAUCUGCUAUGGUAGUAGUUACUCACAUGUGGCUACUGAAUACUUGAAAAGUGACUAGUGAGACUAAGAAAAUGAAUUUUUAAUUUAACUUAAUUUUAAUUAAUUUUAAUUUAGCUGUAAAGACUGCUACCAUAUUAAUUAUUAGAAAUCUUGUGAGUGCAUUUGGAAUAAUUUUGACAUGUGAACCUACUUUUUCAACUGUAAAUUUUAUAAAAUUUUAAUGCAGAUAAAGUAUCUGUGAUGACAAUUUAGCAUACAAAUUAAGAUAUAUUAUAAAUGUAUAAUGCACACUGGAUUUCAAAG